CGGUGCGGCAGCUAUACAUGCAAGUCGAACGAACUCUGGUAUUGAUUGGUGCUUGCAUCAUGAUUUACAUUUGAGUGAGUGGCGAACUGGUGAGUAACACGUGGGAAACCUGCCCAGAAGCGGGGGAUAACACCUGGAAACAGAUGCUAAUACCGCAUAACAACUUGGACCGCAUGGUCCGAGUUUGAAAGAUGGCUUCGGCUAUCACUUUUGGAUGGUCCCGCGGCGUAUUAGCUAGAUGGUGGGGUAACGGCUCACCAUGGCAAUGAUACGUAGCCGACCUGAGAGGGUAAUCGGCCACAUUGGGACUGAGACACGGCCCAAACUCCUACGGGAGGCAGCAGUAGGGAAUCUUCCACAAUGGACGAAAGUCUGAUGGAGCAACGCCGCGUGAGUGAAGAAGGGUUUCGGCUCGUAAAACUCUGUUGUUAAAGAAGAACAUAUCUGAGAGUAACUGUUCAGGUAUUGACGGUAUUUAACCAGAAAGCCACGGCUAACUACGUGCCAGCAGCCGCGGUAAUACGUAGGUGGCAAGCGUUGUCCGGAUUUAUUGGGCGUAAAGCGAGCGCAGGCGGUUUUUUAAGUCUGAUGUGAAAGCCUUCGGCUCAACCGAAGAAGUGCAUCGGAAACUGGGAAACUUGAGUGCAGAAGAGGACAGUGGAACUCCAUGUGUAGCGGUGAAAUGCGUAGAUAUAUGGAAGAACACCAGUGGCGAAGGCGGCUGUCUGGUCUGUAACUGACGCUGAGGCUCGAAAGUAUGGGUAGCAAACAGGAUUAGAUACCCUGGUAGUCCAUACCGUAAACGAUGAAUGCUAAGUGUUGGAGGGGUUUCCGCCCUUUCAGUGCUGCAGCUAACGCAUUUAAGGCAUUCCGCCUUGGGGAAGUAACGGGCCCGCAUGGACUUGGAAAAACCUUCCAAAAAAGGG
rnacentral:rRNA from 2 species